GUGCAGCAGUCGCGAAACCUUCGCAAUGCGGGAAACCGCGACGAGGGGACUCCCAGUGCCUACGCUCAGCGUAGGCUGUUCCCGAGCCUAGAAAGCUCGGGGAGUAAGGGCUGGGUAAGACGGGUGCCAGCCGCCGCGGUAAUACCCGCAGCCCGAGUGGUGGCCACUAUUAUUGGGCCUAAAGCGUCCGUAGCCGGCCCGGUAAAUGCCUGGGUAAAUCGUGAGGCCUAACCUCACGAAUUCCGGGUAGACUGCCGGGCUAGGGGACCGGAGGAGGGAGAGGGUACUCCAGGGGUAGGGGUGAAAUCCUGUAAUCCCUGGAGGACCACCGGUGGCGAAGGCGCUCUCCUAGGACGGGUCCGACGGUGAGGGACGAAAGCCAGGGGAGCGAACCGGAUUAGAUACCCGUGUAGU
rnacentral:rRNA from 1 species